GGUUAACGCUGGCGGCGCGCAUAACACAUGCAAGUCGAGCGAGGGCUUAUUUCUCGCAAGAGAAGUGAGUUCCUAGCGGCGAACGGGUGAGUAACACGUGGGCAACCUUUCCUAUCGCGGGGGAUAACACCGGGAAACCGAUGCUAAUACCGCAUGUCGUCACUGAUCGCAUGGUUGGUGAAGAAAGCAGCAAUGCACGAUGGGGUGGGCCCGCGGCCUAUCAGCUAGUCGGUGGGGUAACGGCCUACCGAGGCGAUGACGGGUAGCUGGUCUGAGAGGACGGCCAGCCACACGGGGACUGAGACACGGCCCCGACUCCUACGGGAGGCAGCAGUGAGGAAUCUUCCGCAAUGGGCGAAAGCCUGACGGAGCGACGCCGCGUGUGGGAUGAAGUCUUUCGGGAUGUAAACCACUGUCGGAGGGGAAGAAAACAGACGGUACCCUCCAAGAAAGCCCCGGCUAACUACGUGCCAGCAGCCGCGGUAAUACGUAGGGGGCAAGCGUUGUCCGGAUUUAUUGGGCGUAAAGAGCGUGUAGGCGGUCAGGUAGGUCCGUUGUGAAAACUCGAGGCUCAACCUCGAGACGCCGAUGGAAACCAUCUGACUAGAGUCCGGAAGAGGAGAGUGGAAUUCCUGGUGUAGCGGUGAAAUGCGCAGAUAUCAGAAGAACACCCGUGGCUAAAGCGGCUCUCUAGUACGGUACUGACGCUGAGACGCGAAAGCGUGGGGAGCGAACAGGAUUAGAUACCCUGGUAGUCCACGCCCUAAACGAUGUCGACUGGUUGUUGGGGGUUUGACACUCUCAGUAACGAAGCUAACGCGUGAAGUCGACCGCCUGGGGAGUACGGCCGCAAGGUUAAAACUCAAAGGAAUUGACGGGGACCCGCACAAGCGGUGGAUUAUGUGGAUUAAUUCGAUGCAACGCGAAAAACCUUACCUACCCUUGACAUGUCCGGAAGGCUGCUGAAAGGCGGCUGUGCCCGAAAGGGAACUGGAACACAGGUGCUGCAUGGCUGUCGUCAGCUCGUGUCGUGAGAUGUUGGGUUAAGUCCCGCAACGAGCGCAACCCUUGUCCUUAGUUGCCAGCACGUAAUGGUGGGAACUCUAAGGAGACUGCCGGUGACAAACCGGAGGAAGGUGGGGAUGACGUCAAGUCAUCAUGGCCCUUACGACCAGGGCUACACACGUACUACAAUGGGAGGUACAGAGGGUAGCGAAGCCGCAAGGUGAAGCCAAUCCCAGAAAACCUCUCUCAGUCCGGAUCGGAGUCUGCAACUCGACUCCGUGAAGUCGGAAUCGCUAGUAAUCGCGAAUCAGCAUUGUCGCGGUGAAUACGUUCCCGGGCCUUGUACACACCGCCCGUCACACCAUGGGAGUUGGUUGCUCCAGAAGUAGGUAGUCUAACCGCAAGGGGGACGCUUACCACGGAGUGGUCAAUGACUGGGGUGAAGUCGUAACAAGGUAGCCGUACCGGAAGG
rnacentral:rRNA from 1 species